rnacentral:rRNA from 1 species
CCUACGGGCGGCUGCAGUGGGGAAUAUUGCACAAUGGGCGCAAGCCUGAUGCAGCCAUGCCGCGUGUGUGAAGAAGGCCUUCGGGUUGUAAAGCACUUUCAGCGGGGAGGAAGGCGGUGAGGUUAAUAACCUCAUCGAUUGACGUUACCCGCAGAAGAAGCACCGGCUAACUCCGUGCCAGCAGCCGCGGUAAUACGGAGGGUGCAAGCGUUAAUCAGAAUUACCGGGCGUAAAGCGCACGCAGGCGGUCUGUCAAGUCGGAUGUGAAAUCCCCGGGCUCAACCUGGGAACUGCAUUCGAAACUGGCAGGCUAGAGUCUUGUAGAGGGGGGUAGAAUUCCAGGUGUAGCGGUGAAAUGCGUAGAGAUCUGGAGGAAUACCGGUGGCGAAGGCGGCCCCCUGGACAAAGACUGACGCUCAGGUGCGAAAGCGUGGGGAGCAAACAGGAUUAGAUACCCCUGUAGUC